rnacentral:rRNA from 1 species
CAAAGGUUUGGUCCUGGCCUUGAGGUCAGUUAUUACUUAGUAUACACAUGCAAGUAUCCGCCCCCCUGUGAAAACGCCCUUUAACCCCUUUUAGGGACAAGGAGCUGGUAUCAGGCUCUAAAAUCAGCCCAAGACACCUAGCUAUGCCACACCCACAAGGGAAUUCAGCAGUGAUUAACAUUGAGCAUUAGCGAAAGCUUGACUCAGUUAAAGUAAAAUAGAGCCGGCUAAUCUGGUGCCAGCCGCCGCGGUUACACCACGUGGCUCAAAUUGACCUCCUCCGGCGUAAAGCGUGAUUAAAGUUUCUUCAUACUAGAGUUAAACUAAAACUAAGCUGUGACACGCCUGUUUAUUAAGAAACCCAAGAACGAAAGUUACUCUAUCAUAACCAACUUGAAUUCACGACAGCUAGG